rnacentral:lncRNA from 1 species
GGGGCUUACAUGGGGCUUUUGAAAGGUCAUGUUUGAAGAUGAUGGGAUAGCAAGGUCAAAGUUGCUCACGCACCUGGGUUUUACCAUGCCUGCUGAAGAAAAAGAGACAGUAGAAGAAUCUCUUUCUUCGGAAGUAAAUGCUAUAAAACUUGAUGAUACAGUGGCAGAUAGUAAAGUGGAAUAUGAGACUAAUAAAGAAGCCUCUGUGUUUACCUUGGAUAAUGGGGAAGAUUUCUUUAACAACCUUCCUAGUCCCAAAGCAGAUACACCAGUAUCAACUUCUGCUGAUAACUUUGUUGCUGGAGAUUCUCUUCCUACUGCAGAUGAGGUGGUAGAAUAAUCAAG